UUCUAUUUUAGAAUUCAUAACAUUAGAAAAAAAAACCUUCAAUUUUCAGUUCUUAUACACAAAGAACUACAAAACAAAACAUAAACAAACUUCCAAUUCACAUAUAAUUUCGAAAUUCAUAUAUUAGAACAAACAAUUUCAGAUUUCAGUUCUUGUACACAAAGAACUACAAAAAAGAACAAAAAAAGCUUAUCAUAUGAACAUACAGGUUGAGAAUUCAUAAUAUUCUAACAUAUACUAAUUUGAUUUCAUAAAGAACUACAAAUUUCAUACCAUCAAAGCAUAAAUGGUAUCUGAUUUUGAAAAUUAUUAACAGAAAAAUUAUCUAACCUGUGUGAUGGAUCGAGAAGGCGUCACUGAUGGCGGUGGCGGAGGUCCGACGAGAUGGCACAGGUCCGACUGGUCGGACUGUUUGGCGUUCAAUGUUGUGGAGUUCUUCCUAGCGGCUGCUGUGCUUUUAGGUCACUAGAAGGGAAGCGAAUGGGGAAAGAAAUAAUAACGACGCAGGGGCAAGAUAAGGGCAAGAUUGUCUAAUUUCCAGUCAGCAACUGUUUAAAAACUGAUCCAGAAAGCGAUUUGGGUCAGCAGAUCUUACCGAGAAAGCUCAAAUCAAACACCAAAGGUCUGACCGAGUCAGCCCAAUUUGCUGACUCGACCCAGUCAGACAUUUAUCAAACACUCCCUUAGAAGUGCACUCUUUAAUAGACCUUGACUGCACACAUCUAUGCUCAUGAACCAAAGUUUUCACCAUCCAAUCGCUUUCUUCAUCAGAUCUAGAAAUUAAUACCACCCAAGGGCAUGUUGCUUUUUGUGAGCUGACUGUUUUAUCCUUGCAUUUGAUUCUACUUUUUGUCCAUGGCCCACCUGUCAUUUUCGGGACCACACCCCUGCAUUUUGCCCUAAUUCUUUUUUUUUUAUCAUUUUUUGAAAAGUAAAUGUUUCUCCUAGUUCGAAUUGAAUGCAUUUUAAUGUAGUCCUUCACUUCUGAUGAGGACUUAAAUAUUUGACCCAGAUGGAAUGCAGUUUCAUGUACUACUCCUGAUGAACAUGUGGUUGGUUUGUUUAACCUUCUCAUUAAUUUCUUCCUCUCAUCUUCUUCUACACCAGUUGAUUCAAAUAAUUGUGUAUCUAUCACCUCCAAAUCCUCAUCAACUGUGACAUCAGGUGCAUUGAAUGAUUGGUGGUUAUCUAGAUUUGGAAAAGAAUAAACACCACUGUGGAAGUCUUUCAUAUUCACUUCGACAUCCUCCACCAUAUUAAGUUCAUCCACUAAAAAGUCACUAUCGUCGCUUAUACUUCCAUCGGUACUAGUCUCAUCACUAAUAACAUCUCCAAUUUCUUCAUUUUCCCCCAUCUGUUGGUAAUCAUUAUGAUCCAUAUAAAAGAAAGGAUCAAAGUCUUCUGAAGGGACAACAUCUUGGGCUUUGUUAAGCUCCUCACUUGCAGGAUGAACUCGAACAUCUUUCACUACAUCUCUAUCAAAAUGUCCAAAAGGUACAACAGACCUAGAAAAGUCAUAGUUCUCAUUCAAGUCCAUUUUUCUACUACAUGAUCCUACCUUUGUACUUGUAAACUUUUUUCGAUUGAGUUCCGGAGAAAUAGGCUCAUUGAUUUCUUCCGAUACGACCUUAUUUGGAGAUAUAAAGUAUGCAUGGAGUCUAGUAGUUCCAUGUUCAGUAUACACCAUAAUCUCUUUAUGAUUAGCAACAUGCUUACUUAACAAAAGUACGUCUGAGUUGUUACCUAAAGGAAGUAACCCAUAAUCGAUUUCAAUCUCAGGAAUCAAGAAGUGGUAGUAGAUAGGCUCACCGUUGAUAUAACCUAUCUCCUUCAUCAUAUCGUCUAACUCAUGUACGGAAAACACGUCCAUGUCUACGUAGUCAACAUAGUCAAUACUCCCACCAACGUAACGUCUUCCUGGGUAUUUUGUGAACAUACCCCCAUGGUGAAUCUUGAAUGUGCAAAAACUACUUAACUCAACUGAAAAACAAAUAAAUAAUGAUAUGAGGAAAGAAUGAAGUCUCAAAAUUGAAUGUGCAUAAAUUACUUAACAAAAUUGAAAGUUGUUAACUGAUCACUCACCAUAAGCUUUGAUCAGGUCAGGAUUUUCUGAGAAUUUUGAACGGACAUUCCACAAAGUUAGAACGAUCGCAAAAGAUGAAAAUGAAAACCCUAGUUUCCGUUUGAUGUUUUGAAGUGAUGAAGAUGAAAAACCAGAGGAGAAAAGAAAGGGAUGAUUUCUUGGGGUAAUGUAAAUGGCAGCUAGAUGUAAGGAUCAUUUAUGAAUAUGAUCAUUUCGUGUAACAAAGCAAAAGACCAAAAUACCCUCGUGUGAGGGUCACGUGAUUUAGAUAAACGGAAACAAUUAAACGGAGUAUGUCAUAAGGACUAUUCGUGCAACAAUUUGGAACCAUAGGGACCAUACUCGUCCAAAAUUCCUCAUAAGGACUAUCUUUGGUCUCUUGUGCCAACCACAGGGACCAUCUGUGUAAUUUUGUCUUUUUUUAAAGAUAGUUCAUAAUUUUUCUAUUAUAUACAUUGUAAAUGAAAUUGAGAACUUAAGUAGGUCCUAGGACCUACCUAAGCACAUGGUGGAUACGCCCCUGUUACCCACACUAACCUCAUACACUUACAACACAAAUGAACUUGAACGGUCUAAGACCAAACCAAGAUAUAAUAUGAAAUGUGUAAGUAUAGUUUAAUAGAUGAAAGUGAGGUGUUGUUUGGGCUUGAAAAGUAGGGGUGAGCAUGGUGCGAUUUUUUGAGAAAACCGAACCGCAAACCGCAAGAUGCGGUUUCUAUAGGGUAAAACCGAUAGGUGUGGUUUUUGUUUCGGCGUGGUUUUACAUGCAUUUUCGGUGUCAUUCGAUGCGGUUUCGGUUUUUAACUGAAAAUAUGUGUUGGUGUGAUUUUUCAUACAUGUGUUGAUCUACCAAAGAAGUAAUAACCCCUAAAGAAGCUAGAGCAAGGCCUAAUUGAAAAUGAAGCCAAUUAUUAAUUGUGUCAUAAAGACCCUCAUGCCCACGUCUCAAUCGCCCUCUUGGAGGGAUAUGUGCAUCUAAAAGAUCUUUCAUACUGUGCCCAAUCCCAAAAUUAGUUCUAUACAUAUGCCCAACAAUAAGAAAAAGAAAUGCAAUAGCUAAAUAAUGAUGAGUCAUAUCAGCAUGUCCAAACCCGACUUUUCAGUUAACUUUCCUUUAUUUCCGGUACAGAUUCUCAUUUAAAUGUAUUUAACAUGCUUGUGAAAUAGUUAUAUGUUAUUCUUAUCAAAAUAUAGACUUCUUUAUGAUAUUACGAUUUUGAGAUUUGAAUUAUAUGUUUGAUGCAACAAGGGAUUUGGUUUUAUAAUCUCAAAUUCCAUUACUUAAUCAUUAUUGUUUAUACAGAUAGAGGCGGCUUUUGAUUCGAAUUGCAUUUUGCUUGUGAUAAGCAAAAGGAAAAUUGUUAAUGGUACGCACUUUGAUACAAAUGUCAAAUUUUAUAAAAAUAUAGCAAAACAUAAGGCAUGCACAGUGGCAAAAAGAACUGAAGAGGUCGAAGUUGAACAAAAUAUACUUUUAUUAAUAAGUAUUAUAAUAUAUUAAAUAUUGUCAGGUUUUUAUGGUGCUGUUUGGCAUUGUCCAAACCGCACCACACCGAAAAAUUACCAAUUAAGGUUGGAUUGGAAUGCAUAAUUAUCAAUUUAUCCUUAAUAAGUCAUAAAUCAACAAAAAUGGCCCAACAAUUUUCUUAAUCUUAAUUGUUGCCUUUGGAUUAGAAAUCAUCAACGAUCAAGAUUGGUUCUCACAAUUCUCUAAUCUCUACUUUUAUGUUGUUUUCAUUUGAACUCAACCCAAAAAUCUCACCAGUAAUCACCACACGAACAAAUCCCGUUCUUGAAAUGAUGAAACCUAUUUGUAUCCCGAAGAAUAAUUUCCCGCUCAACAAUCUUGGAAAUAAGCUUAGCAGCAAUAUGACAAUCCUCACAAACACGUAGAUUUUUAGUAAUCCGUAUAGGCGUAAAAGCUUUAGUAUUUAUAAUCACAAACACAAUAGCAAGCUUCUCACUAUGAACAGCAAGAUGAUUUCCUUUAUCUUCAUCUUCUAUAUCAUGAAGUGCAGAAUCCACUUCAGGAACAUACCCAAAAUCCCUCAUCUUCCCCACAAGUACUUCCAACUCUUGAUAAAUCUGUUUAGAUUGUGGAUGGGAUUGAUCUCCAGCAAGAAACGAAUGAACUUGAUUAUUAAGCUCAACAUUACUAACACCGGGCUCUUUUUUCACUCCUUUUGAUUUCAUUAUUGAACGAAUAUUUGUCACAUCUUUAAAUCUACCUGCUUUUGCGUAUAUAUUUGAUAAUAAAACAUAAUACCCUGCUUGUUCAGGGACCAAUUCAAAGAGAUGAUCUGCUGCUACAAGACCAAUUUCCAUGUUGGAAUGAACUUUACAAGCACUUAACAAAGCACCCCAGAUUCUAUCGUUUGGUUUUGUUUUCAUUUUCUUUAUAAAAUCAUAAGCUUCAUUGAUUCUUCCUGAUCUUCCUAGCAAAUCAACCAUGCACGCCAAGUGUUCGAGUCUUGGAAUGAUGUUAUACUCUUCGGUCAUCAAUUUGAAGAAAUGUUUUCCUUGGUUUAGUAAUCCGGCAUGGCUGCAGGCUGAUAGAACUGGAACGAAGGAAAUGGAAUCAGGGGCGAUUCCGGAAUUUUGCAUAUUUGAAAAGACUGUGAUAGCAGUUUCACCAUCUCCAGUCAUGCCAUAAGCAGAGACCAUGGAAGUCCAGGAGACGACAUCUCUUGUUGGCAUUUCAUCGAACACCUUGCGUGCUUCGUUUAAAGACCCACAUUUAGCAUACAUGUCAAUCAAGGCGUUCUCUACUGUUAGAUUAGGAAGAAGCCUUUUUGUUUUUACAUAUGAAUGAAUCUUUCUUCCUAGUAAUAAAGCUGAAAGAUCUCCACAAGCGGGUAGGAUGCUAGCAACUGUGAUUGAAUCCGGGUCGAUUCCGUAAUUCUCCAUUUGUUGAUAAAGAUUAACUGCAUCUUUAGGCAUCGAGUUGUUGACGUACACAGCUAUCAUGACAUUCCAAGAAAUUAAACUCUCUCGAGCGUGAUUCAUGAACAUUUCUUUCAUAAACAUCACGUUGGUAGAUGAAGUAGAAGUUGUUAAAGCAGGGGAAAGGCUGGCCAUGGUGCCUGCGUUGGGUUUUGAGGUAGAACAUUGCAUCAUUGUCUUACAAAUCUCCAAUGCAUCUUCAAACAUCCGGUUUUGGGCGUAGGCAGCAACCAUAGCAUUCCAGGAGACGAUAUCUCUACUAGGCAUUUCAUCAAACACCUGGCGUCCUUCCAGUAACCGGUUACAUUUUCCAUACAUUGUAAUCAAUCCAUUCCCUACAUAAAGAUUUGAAUGCAGACCCUUCUUGAGAACAGCAACAUGGGUUUGUAAUCCGACCCACAAAUUCUCAGACACGGAACAUGCUUUUAGAACUUGAGGAACUGUAAAAUGAUCAGGGUUAAUGUUGAACUUGAACAUGUUUCUGUACAUACGAAGUGCUUUUUCGUAGAAUUCAUUGUUUACGUAGCUUCUAAUCAUCACAUUGAAGAAGACUACAUCUUUUUGAGGAAAUUCAUCAAACAGUUGGCGGGUAACUGCGAUUUGGCGACAUUCAGAAUAAGCUUUCAUUAAUUUCAGAGCAAUAUGCGAUGCUGAGACGAGGUUUCCAUCAAUAAUUAACCUACAAUGUAUCUUUUUCAAUUGUUUGAUAUCUGGGCACUUGUCCAAGAUUUUGAUACACAAGUCUUCUGUGAUUAACAUGAUUGUUAAGGCGAGAUUUGAAUGAAUUUGAACUUAUAUUCCUUUCGCCAUGUUGUACCUGAGGGGCAAUCAAAUAGAAUGGACGAAGAUAACGAAGGUUUACUUGGUGGUGUUCACUUAAAAACAAGAAAUAUGAAGUUCUAAACGCUAUUUCUUGUUAAACAGAAAAUAUUUUGUCCAAUCUAAAAAUCCAAUUUUUGAGUAAGUUCAAGCUUAAGCUCAAAAAUAGUAAGCAAAACAUGUUUAAAAAAUAAAAGUUCGUUUGAAACUCUUUGGAUAGCUCGAGUAUAACAAUCAUCAUAAUUAUAGUCAAUAAAUCAGGCUCAAACAACCAAACUUGAUGUCCAGCCCUUGAUCAUCCAAUUGCCAACUGAAAUCAACUUAGUUUCCGGUUUUAGAAUCGCCCUAACAUUACAUAAGCACCAACUAGUUCCAAAAGUAGUUUUUAAUUCAAUGUCUCCCAUACCCGUGACUUCAAGGGUUUCCAUGUUACCCAACCUUACCAACUUAAGAUAAGUUCUUUACUUCAAUUACUAUAACAGAUCGAUGAGUCAUGUUCUAAUGACCUCUCGUCAUAUGAUGCAAUGCUUAGACUCGAGUCUUUUAAAGUCAAAUUCUAUAAUGAAAUAUACAUUCCUUCAAGUUUCUAAUGUGAUAUAAUCACAUUCUAGCAUGUAUCACUUCUAGCUACAAGCUUCUUACUUUAACAACAAUCACAAUACUUCUAUUGAUCGCUUUGAUUAUCUUUCAGUUCAAUCUUCUGGCUUAAGUCAGAUGCUACAUCGAUCUUGGUUCUCUGAACCACGUACAAUACUUAUCCUAGCUGUAAUCGAUUUGAUAUGACCACUAGGGUCGGAAUAACAAUCAUCUUCUUAGUCAUUACCGAAAUUAUGGUAAUGACACAUGAACAAAACAGAAUCAAUUACUAGCGUCUUGGUAACUCGUGACUUUCCCUGAUCCAAGUGCGAGUCGUGUGCUUCCAGUAGUAUAUGCCUCUACUACCUUUCACACCUACUCAUACUUGUCCCAAGUAUUGUCUUUCAGUUCUCCAAGUCACCAUAAAAGAAUUUCACAUAGUCAUUUAACACAUCGAAUAACAAAACUAAGGUUUAUAUUAUUUCUUGAAACGAUUACAUAGAUAUUCAAGUUCACCUUAUACCAUGCCUUUUAUAUUAGGCUACACCACAUGAUACUAUCUAUAUGGCUACUUUAUAUCUCGAUCUUCAGAUAUAUAUAGAUCCCUACUCCUAAUCCCUUGUAUCGUCACCUGCUUCAUCCAGGUUAGACUUCGAGAAUCUUCCUUUCUUAUCGAAUCUUGAGGAUCCCUCAAGCUUCUUCUUUUCUCAUGCCUUGUCUUAUUCCAGACCCUUUUUCCUAAAUUAGGUUUCCAUAUUCUUGGUUGCUCUAACGGUUGUCUUCAAAGUAGUUGCCAUUUUUACCAUUGCGCCAAAUUAUGCUGGCAAUCCGUUAGCAAAACUAUCUAUCUUGGAGAGUUCAGUAGCACCAAGUAGGGGAAUAACUUCAUCUGCUCGGUGAAUACGGUGACAUACUCAUCAACACUCAUCUUCCUUUUCUUCAAGUUCGAAACUCGUUGUUUAGGUCUAUCAGAUCUAUCUCUGAGCAGUAUUGCAUUUUCAACUGCUCCAUGAAUGCUUCCCACCUCAGGGCUUCUCCCCCAUGGCUUUGUAUCUGCCAAUAACUUCCACCAACUUAAAACUCUGGUCUUUAGUUGUCUGACUGUAAAGACGGUUUUCUGCUUGUUGCUGCAAUUGCAACUUUCAAAUGUCAUCUCUAUCUCGGAGAUCCAAUCCAUGAUCUCUACUGGCUUCGGGCUUCCAGAAAGACUUGGUGGUUUGGCACCUAAGAAGUUCUUAUACAUACGUUCAUCCUUAUCAAUCGCUUUUUUCGGGUCGUUCCUCCUUGCCACUCGGGGUUCAGCUUGACUCACUGUACGACUGUAAUUUCCCUCCUCCGACAAUUCUUCAUUCAGUUCGGGUUGCACGAUAGGCACAAUAGGUUCAUCCCUAUUAUCAAGAAACAUUUUUCUCAUCUCCUCCCUUUGUUCGGCCAUCAUAGCCCAAAUCAUUGCUUAGACUCUUGCCAUCGUGAUUGGCUCGGGUGCAGCUACUACCUCUGGUGCACAUUUAAUCACUCGUGGUUCAGGCUGUUAGUUUUCAUUAGCAUUUUCUAAUAUGUUGCGAGUUCUCACCAUUUCGAUCUAUACACUCUAGAGAUGUUCAGUGUACAGUGACGAGAAUUAAGAUAUGGAAAGCUUUAUUUACGACAGCCAUAUAAAUCUUCUUAUCACUCGUAAAAGUUAUAUACUAGUUCUAAUACCGUAAUUAAAUGUUUGGAAAUUUUGAGCAAAUGACGGUUCAUCAACAAUAGAGCGAAUCUCAUUUAGGAAUUCGUUGAUAGGUCGAUUUCCUUUAGGAUUUUUAGCAAGUUUGGAUUUUAAAGAGAUGAUUCUUGAGCAGGAGGUGCUGGCAUAGCUUGUGUUGAGAUGCUUUCAUGCUUCUUUUGUGGUAAAUACAGAGGUAAUGAUAGGUUGAAUGAAUUGCAUCUGAGCAUGAACCAAGAAUUGCAUCGAAUACUACAUGAUCUUGGCGAUAGCAAGUCGUGUAUUCAUGAUUAGGUUUGGAUUUGUCUUUGUCGAUAAUGAAUUUUGUGGUAGGAUCAGUCACCCAUGUGAUGUAAUCUUCCAGACCUAGUCCAAUAAAUGUGGACUGCACUUGUCGCCUCCAUACAUGGAAGUUGUUGGUGAGUAAUUUGGUAGGAAAGUGACUUGAGGCGGUGAUUUGUAUUUGGGAUGAUUGUGUCAUGGUGAUGUUGAUGAAAAGGAUUAGAGGAGAAAGGCAAGAUGAUCGAUUGACUCUUUAGAGUGUGUGUGCUCUGAUACGAUAUGAGAUUUGAGAAUCAAUGGGCUCGAAUGAAUAAUUUCAUUUACAAAGAUCGAUACAUAUAUAGAUGGUAACGAGAGUUAAAGAGCUAUACAUGGAAUUUACUAAGAAUAGAUUGCAAUUACAUACAAAUAGAAGAGAUUAUUGUAGAUUAGUCAUGAAGAUGUGUACGAUGUUAUAGUUAGAUUGCUUAUUUGCAAUCCAUGUUAGCUAAGUAUGUCAUGUUGAAUACAAAUUGUAUUAAAACAUUAAAGUUCCAACCAUUAUAUGUUGAAGAAGAAGCAAAUACGCCUUAGUCACACCCAUUCUAAAUGAUAUGGAUGUUAUGGUUGUCGUUUCUAUGCAACCAAAUCGUGAUUCCAAGUUGCAGUUGUCUUACCAAUAUAUCAUGUUAGGAAAAGAUGACAUAGCAUGAAAUAUUGUAUGUUACAACAAAAAGAUAUAUCUUAUAGAUGUCUUGCACAUGGGUUAUUCCUUUUUAAGCACUUAUAUAAAAAUAAUAUCACGUAUGUAUGAUAUCUAUUUUGAGAGAUUUUUAGCAAGCAACUCUUUGUCUAUUAUUGUUAUUGGAUAGAAAAAGUAUCAUCUUCGUUGGGAAGAUUUUACUAGGAUUAGAUUCAUAAUAGUUUGUCAAAGAUUUUACUAUUAUGUAUUUAUAAACCCAUGAAGUUUUCUAUUAAAUAAAUAAAUAAAUAACCAUUCACCAUUUAUAUCUUUUUGGAAUAGAGUUUGUUAAAUUCUAAUAUAAAUAAAAAGAGUAUUUAUUUAGAUUCACACAUUACAAAAUUACAAACUCCAAGCAUAAAUCCGAAACUUAUUUUUAAACUUCUUCAUUUAUAUUACAAGUUUUAUUCUUUUUUCCCAACCCACUUGGGGUUUCGAAACCCUAAAAAAGUUCUAUCCAUGGAAGUUCAUAUUUAUUUCUUAUCUUAAUGAAUUUAAGGUCUAAAUCAAUAAAUGGCAAUGUAGAAUUAACCGCAUAUAUUAAGUUAUUUUUGGAAGCUUUCCAACACAACACAGAAAGGAAAUGAUGAGAAUUUAUGGUACCAAAUAACAAAAUAAUCCCGGUUCCUAUAAAAAUUUAUUAAAGCUCUACUCAUGAUUUCAUAAUCUCCUCUAAUAUGAGGGUUACGUUAUUGUAAUAAUAACUAUGAUAAUGUAAAAGCCAUAACAUAAAUCGUCUUAAUUUAAGAAAUAAUAUAAAUCCCAAGAUAUUGUUUUUAAAAUAAAAAGGAAAAAAGUGGGAGUCCAUUAGAAGGAGCCAAGCUGAUUAUUUGAGCCAAGAGAGCACCGAUUUGUUAUCCUUCCACUGUUCGAAGCGAGAGGUUAUCGCAGCUCUGUGAAGCCAGCCUAACGCAUUGCCCUCUGCUCUAGGAACCAAGAAGCCCAAGCCUUCGCUCAAGCCACUUGAUCCAACUCCGAACUUGGAACGGGCAAACCAGAUUUUGCAACAGCUUUGACCCAACCAAACAAGGCUCGAUCUCAGUCCAUCCCACUUUAGAGCCCUCACUUGAGUCACAAGCUCGCGUUACCAAGCUCGGCGAUAAACGAAGUCCAUUUGAUGUAUAAAUAAUCGGAAAAACUUUCUCCUCCAAGCGAUGUGGGAUGCGAAACGAAAUAUUUUCAUCUUCAUUCUCUCUUUAUCUCUGUCAAAUACUGUGAUUACUGAUUACUGACUACUUAAACACCCAUGCAACGGAUUUCAAGUAUUUUUUUCAAUCCAUGGAUUUAGAACUGUAAACUGAAAAAAGAGAUUGUGGAAUAGUUUUGGAAACUGGAAUUUGUUUACAAGUUUUUCGUGAGGUGUAAGUGAUAAGAUAUGAUAUUUGAGUAAUUGGAAUCAUUCUCUCGAAGAUUCAAGUAUCAAGUAUGAAACUUAGACAAUAUAUAUACCUGUUUUCUUCUCUUUUUUCUGUCUACGAACCGAAUCCAACAUGAUUUCUCUACAAAAUCCGUGUCUUAAUCCUAAUUAACACUCACUAACCGGUUACCCCUCCAGAUGUUGCAGAAAUUUUCUUGAAUUAUCUCUUUUGUUUUUCACAAUUCAAUGUCGGUUGCUCCCUUUCUCUCUGAUUCAAGUAUUCAACCACCGCCAAAGACUUGAGAAAGUGGAGGAGUUUAUCAAUUAAAUGAGUUUAUAUGCUUUCCAACUUUUCGUAAAUUGCAAGUUACUCCCCGUACCUUUCGAAAAUCUUCCUUUAACAAUUGUGGAAAGUUGUUGAAAUUUGAAAAUAAAAUAAAAAUUAUAGUCAAGGGGAUCGUUUUAAAGGUUUCCAGGAGAUACUUUUGUUGAUAUAUUUUUGAAUAAAAAGUUAAUUAUAUAAUAGAUUUUUACCAAAUAAUGUGGAUAGCUAAAAAUGUGAUUAUGGUUUAAAAAAGAAAUCUAAUAAAUAAAGAUUAAAUAAAGAAGUUAUGUUUUAAUAUAACUAAAUUAAUGAUGGUAUUGUGUUUGAUGAAAGGACUAAAACUGAACAAAGAAAAAAUAUUUGUGUUUCACUCACAGAUACUAGCAAUUGAUGGGUCUUAAAUGAAAAGGAGUUGGAUAAGGAAUAAAAACCUUGUAGACGUUCACACUUUUCUCUUUUGAUCAAAAUCUUAUUUAUAAAUUUCAAAAUUUGAUUCAAACCUGUUGUAUAAUUUUAAAUAAUUAAACUCAUAAUUAAAAUUAUACUCUUAUCCAUAAGUUAAUAGAUAUCUUGACUCAUUUAUAGUAUUAUAGAUUACAAGAUUGUUGUGCACGUCACAAAGUAUCAUCCAUAAUAUAUAACAUGAUAUUUUACUUAAUACUAAAUAUACGACAAUUCAAAAAUCAUAUUUUACUAAAUACUUACGAUAACAUUUUUUUUUAAAUGGAUGUCUAUUAUAACAAAUAUGCAUGAGACAACGUAGUCGUCAAGAUAAAUCAUAAACAAAAUAAAUGUCUACUGUAGAAAACAUAUGUUUAACAUAUAUCAAUUGCACUUAGAAAAUAUUUACACUCUCAUAGUAUGCGUUCGAUAGGGAGAAAGCAUCAUAAUCAAUUGGUGAUUUUUUUGGUUGACGUGGUUAUGUGUUUGAUUAGAGAAGAAAGCAAAUAGUAUGAUGUCGAUUGAGGAUUUCUUGAGUUACAAAUAGGGUUAAUGUCAUAAAAAUUCUCAAGCUUUCAGGGUUUUGUCGGUUUUGCCCAAAGUUUAAUUUUAUGUCCGUUUUUACCCUAACAUUUUCCAAAAAAUGUUCGUUUUUACCCUUUUACCGGUGAUAACAGGUUACCAUUAUAUUAGUUUCGCAAAAAAACCCUUAAGUUUAUAGUUUUUUACGUUUUUACCUGUAAGUUUAUAUUUCUUUUACACUUUUACCCUUUGUAUUUUUUUUUUUCAUAUUAUAUGUAUUCAUAAAGAAAAAAUAUAUUUAUAUACGAAAUUUUUUUAAUUAAAUAUUGUAUUUACAUUUUUAUAAUGUUAUUUCUUCAUAUAUAUAUAUAUAUNNUAUAUAUAUAUCAAUAAAAAACAUAAUGAAUCAUAAACAUGUUUAUAUAAGUAUAUACAUAUAUUUUUAGAAGUGUAAAUAUGUAUUUUGAUAUAUGUUUUUUUUUAAGUAUAAAUAUAUUUUUAGAAGUAUAUAUACAUAUUUAUAUAUAAAAAUGUAAAAAUAUGUAUUUAUACUUUUAAAAACUAUAUCUAUAAAACACGUAUUCAUAAUCUUGUAAAAAAAUGUGUGUUAGGAUCUUUUGAUCGCAUUCCGAUCUUAUGAUCACAAUCUUGUAAAAUACAAAAAUAAUCGUAUGUAAGAUUUCAAUUUUGACAAUCUUUAUUUGAAGGAAUAUUAAAAUCAUAAAAUUAUGUUAAUGUGUAACUUGGAACUUGGUGACCCGACCCAAAACAAAGUCAAGAAACCCGACAUCAAAUAUCGAUGGGAUAAAUGUUUGGAAUAAGCUUAGGGUCGAUAGGCCCUAAGUCGUUGGUAAUAGAAGAAUUUUUCAGUUUCCGGCUCCCUACCUAUGAAGUAUGUCAUAUCGACCAAAUCAUAUUAAAUCUAUGUGUCAUUUUAUUGUUGCUUUUUUGCAUAACAAAUUGAAUACUUAAUCUCACAAAAUCAAAAACCUAACUUGAAUAUGAUCAUUGUCGUUGAUACAAUAAAAAUAUAAACCAACAAAACCUUGGAAUUCGGAUUGAAUCCACAUGGAGUUCGUAGUUAAAUUAUGUGUUUGAAAGAUUCAAUUAGCUAACCAAAGAUGCAAGAAAACUAAUCACUUUUGGAACAAUCAAAUUUGAAAUCCAAAGGACAAAAAUGUGCCAAUCAUAAAUUAGGAAUUUAGAAAACCAAAAGUGUAUUGCAAUCAAUUUCUAAAUUGAAUGACCAAAAAUAAUGACCAAAUCUCGCAUUAACUAAACAUUUGAAUGUAGUUAUUUAAUUUUUAUUGUAGCAUAGAUACAUAGACAUGAUCAAUAAAUCUUCUUAUUCUAAUAAAUGAAUAAGUUUAUUCUCAUGUUGACAAGUCUUCUCUAAUAAAUGAAGGUUUUUUGUCAUUUGUUACAUUCUCAUUCAAAUUGUUAAAUGUCAUUUUGUGGUUAUUUUGAAUUAAUUUUUUUCCCACAUAUCAUUUUAUGAGUUUUUCUAUUUUAUUAAAUUCCACAUAAUAUUUUAACAUAAUAGUUGUAAUAAAUGUAGUAAUAAACGGAUAUUAAUUUCACUAAUAAACUUACCUUUUAAUUUCAAAAUUCCCAAAAUUAAAGUUCAUUCGUUUCUUUUCUUUAUUUAAAUUAUGUGUUUAAAUUUAAAAGAUAAAAUACAUUUCCAUUAUAAUAAAUCAUUAUUUUUCUUAUUUUCUUAUAAAUUCAAAGUUCUCAAAUAUUUUGACAUUUAUAUUUAACAUUUUUUUUAAAUAAAUUCAUAUAAUACAUGGGUCUCGCAACUAGUGGCAUACUGUUAGAAAUCUUCAUUAAUAUUAUAUGUCAUCUAUCAUGCCACAUGUCAACCUAUUAAUUCUCCAUUUUAAAUUUUAAAAUUUAAAUUUUCCACUCUAAUUACAUUAAAUUAGAUUAUUUAUUUCAAAUUUUAAAUUUCACAUUCUAAUUACACUAAAUUAAUAACAUUAGAAUAAAAAAUAAAAUAAAAUUAAUAUAUAUUAUAAGGUGAUAUAAUUUAAUGUAUUUAUUUAAAUCAACGAUUAUAAUUUAUAUAACUAAAAAAAUAUCUCUUAAUUAAUAAUUUAUUUGAAGUAAUUGAUUAAUAAUUUUAAAUUUACUAUGUUUAUAUUAAUUUUAUAAUUAUAAUUCUCGCAGAUUAUAAACUAGUUAGUAGAAUAAAAUGACAAACUUUAGGCAUAACCCUUGAUAUGGCCGUAAAAUAGUGUUAACUCCAAAUCUAGGUGGAGCUCGGCACGAUAUAUCACAAUAAUAUUAACUUCAAACAAUUUAAAAAUAAAACUUAUGCAUAAAGUACGAGAAUAAAUUGUUGGGUUACAAAUAAAAUAUUGAAAGAGAAGAGGUUAAAAAUGGCCAACUAAAUGUGUUUGACCAUAUUUAGGGAGGAAGGAGUUGUUUCCCUCCUCCUGCCGAAACCGCUAAACCUUAGUCGGAGGGUAUCGAACCCAUCCAACCCCAAAACCACCGACCCCAUCUUCUUCAACUUUCCAACUUUGAGUUGUCUCCCCAGUGGGUUUCUCAAACCGUUAAACCCCUCUCUUUCUCUCUUGCUUUCAUCCCUUUCCUCCUCUAACCCGCUAUGACUCCUUCAUCCCUUAGUCACUCAACUUAUUUUUGUCUACUAAGAUAAGAAACUUUUCAAAAUCAUCAACUUUUAUCCAUUCAACUUAUUUUGUCAAUUUUUAGGUAAUGAUUUUAACUCAUUGCUCGCCUUUGUGCUUCUAAGAUGAAGUAUCUUGCAUAUUUUGGAGAAAGCAAAUAAGAAUAAAGUAUGUUGCUAAAUCUGGUCCCAAUAAACAAAUAUUUACUCAUAACAAUCUCACACAUAAGAAUUAUGUUAUCAUUAAAAGAUGAAUACGAAUGUUUUGUACUUAGCCUUUGCCAAGUUAUAUAACUUAAUUAAUUAAUUUAUAAGUCCAGACUUUACAAAGAAAAAUCAAGUGAAGUUAAUAAACACAAACUUAAGCAUCAUCAUUGGGUUGAUGCUCUUUUGGGUGUCUCGUCAAAGCUUGAUUAGUAAUGAUUGGAUCUCAUUCAUUAUUCACAUGUCAUCUUGAAACAAAGCUUUGUAAACAGAAUUAGAACCACCACCCCGUUCAUCUUUCUUGUCUCCUCCGCCGCCUAUCAUCGGAGUCUCACAAACCACGCUAUAACCAGCCCUCCGUUGUUUCUUCCUUUUGGAUUCUUUAUUAGAUACGGGUCUAACCUUGGUUGUUUGUAAUGGCUUCGGAGCCCAAACCCUCUGCAAAUCGGGCAUUCGGCCUGUGAAUACGAACCUUUUAGCCCUCUCUCUCCUCUCACGAGCCUCAAUUAACUUUUGUUCAUCAUCCUUUUCUGUCUCUCCUAAAUCCAAGUUGUCAAGCGGAGGAUGCGAUGGUUCGUCUUCUAAAAACAAUGAAUCGUGAAUCAUCAUCUUAUUAGCAGCAGCCAUCUCGUGACUGCUAUCCUCGCUGUUCAACAUCAUACCCUGAUCUUCGUUUUCUUCACCAAAUGGUAACAGGUCCAUUUCAUCGUAGAUCUUCUUCACCACGUCUUCCAGAUUCUGUGAAUACCUGAAAAUUGAAUUUAUCAUAAGCAAAUUAUCAAACAGUUGGUGUGCAACUGAGAAAUGGCUAGAAUUUGGAUACAAAAACUGUGGAAACUAUCAAAUAAUCAAACAAAUAAACGAAGUACCUGGUUUUUAUGGUUUUCUCGACGUACGCAUAAAGACUGAUAUCACCAUGAAAGCCUCCUUCCACAAGGUAUUGGAAGAUCUCCAAUAGCGAACAAAUCUGUUUCACAAGCUUCGUCUUCAAACUCCCCUUCAUACUCCCUGCAUAUUCGGACUGAAGUAUCUCCAUCCGGAGCAAAAUUUGUAAUUCGUAUCUUUAAGUUUAUUAAGGAAAAGAUUAGACCAAAUAAAGAUAUAUUACCAAUUUACCAAGAAUAUGUAAAAGAAAUAAAAAGAAUAAAAGGAUACUCUUUGACUAGGUAUUUUGAGGUAGAACUUGGAUCAUUAUCUUUAUGUUCCUUCAAAUCUUUGGGCUCUGUUAGUAGUAACUGUAUGAUUUCAGCAACUUGAGUAGAACAAGAUUCAUCAAGAUUUUCCAUCUUUUUCUGCUUUUGAGAUAACCAAUAAAUGGACGAGUUUACAAAACUCUCUGCCAUGAUCUUCAAGUCCACACCAUCAGAUUCAAGCCCCUGUUGAAUUCUCUUAGGCAAACUACUGAAAAAAGCUUCUGGAGUUUCUGAACAAGAUUCAAAAUCAGCAUCCCCAUGGAUUCUUGACUGUUGAGAACUAAUAGCCAUUGUAAGAGGUCCAUCGCUUUCUUGAUGGCUUGCAGAAAUAUCUUCAUUUACAUCUGUUUCUUUUUGCUGAAUUGAAUCUGGAGCCAUUUUGCAUGAUCUAUCUAGUAUGUUAUUGGAAGAUAAGCUCUUGUUUUUCACUUCUGUCAUCCAGCAUUUCAGAAACUUCAACUUCUUUGACUUUUUCAAGCCAUUGGCAAAAUAAACCUCUGUUAAGUCCACAUCUAAAAACUCAUAUGCAGCCUUGCAGAAUGCACUCCAUGUAAGGUCCCGAUGUGUGUGUUUUUUAAUCUUUCUUCUCUUUCCACCAGCUAAAUGAACAUAUUUUCCAGAUGGGGAAGUACCCUUUUGAGAAUCAAAGUCACCUUGAGAAAGUUUAUUCUCUAUCAAGAGGUUUGAUCCACCAUCUUUUUGAACAAGAGCAUUGUUAUGAUCUAAGAACAAGAGAACAGCUGAAUGAACUGUGAAGGGCUUGAGAAUCCCUGUGUGAGAAUCCCCAUUGUUAUUUGAUAUAGAUAACAAAGCCCAGUAACCCUUGCUAUAAAGAAAACUAAGUAAAAUCUGCCAUGUUGGAACCGAAUGCUUCUCAAAGAACUCAGAUUUUUCACUGGCUAAUUGUCCAAGAACCUUAUCAGCCAAAAAAAUGUCUAAACCAUCUUUCUCCUUUUUGGCAGAUUUUGCAGAUUGAACUAAAAAAUGAUCUGAAGAAAAUUCUUCAAGUUUUUCACACACAGUGUACUUGUGAACAGAUGUGAUGUGCAACUUCAUAAUUCCAUUGUUUAAAUUACCCAAAAAUGUGCUCACAGAGUUGACAACUUCAUCUUUUGAGCUAGGCUUUGAUGAUGCCUUUAGAUGCAGCACAUUAAGAUCACAGCAUUUCCACUCUAUGGGCUUACCAUGGACAUCCAAAAUCUCGAGACCUAAUUGCCCACGGAUCCUUUUAUCUAAUUUAGGAGAAUCUAGCAACUUAGAUGAGAUCCCAAUAACUGGAUAUAUCAACCCGAAAGAAACAAGCGCAGAACCUAGAACAAUGGAAUCCGCAGAGCAAAAUCCCCAACCAAAUUUCCUAAUUUCAUUUCCAAUAAUAGCAGAGUGCUUCUCGGAUUUAUUGUUUUUGCCUUCUUCUUCUUCGUGGCUAUGAAUGUCAACCCAACAGAAAUGUAUGUCCUUACUAUUAAAUGCAUCAUUAACAGCACCAAAACAAUCACGAAACCUAGCACCAUAAAUAUCUAAAUUCCUCAAGCAAUCAUUAUCGACAUCCACAGACACAAAAUCAGCUAAGGAUUUCAACGAUCUACAAACUGGCGACAACAAAAUAACCAAAUUUGAUCGGACAUCGAUGGGAUCAGAAUGAAUUUUACCUGGAAGAUUCUCAAUAUCGAACUCCCAGCCAUAGUCGCGAGCGAGCUGAAGCAAAGAGCUGGCUAUAUGUGAAGCGUUUGAAGGGGAAUACGUCAAUUUGGUAGAAGAGAUGGAAUUAAGGGUGUGGGAGAGAGAAUCUAGGGUUUGCGAAGGAGAAUUGAAGGAUACAGAAGCAGAAGAAUAACUGGGAAGUAGAUUGCGGAGCGUAGAGACGGAAUCGAGAGAGGAGAGAGAAGAGAAGAAGAGCUUGAAGGAGAAAAGAGAAGAUGAAAGAGGAGGGAAAGAUAAAAGAAUAUUGGAGGUAGCAAGAAUGGAGGUGAGGUAAUUAGGGUUAGGAAAUUGGGAUAGAAAUGGAUUGAGGUCUACGAGAAGAACUAUACGCUGUGUUUUUGAGAAAUCAAUGGCGUCCGCCAUUCAAGCUUGAUAUUUUAAGACUUUCGGGGAGAGCACAGAGAUACGGGGUUCUCGCUGUAGAAGUAGAAGAGCAGAUAUGCUUAUUGCAGAUCCAGGAUGCUAACUUGCGCCGCACCAACGUGGAGAGAGAGGAUAGAGACCGGGACAAUAUGGGCGGCAAUGUAGCAAUGGCGGGAGAAUUAUAUGAGUUUAAAAGUCAUGACCGGUUUAUACAAAUAUAAUUAAAAAAACGACGUAUCAUAAUUGUUAAAGUAAAUGAAAAAAACAAUUAAAAAAAAACAUUGUUAGACGAGAAUAUACUUAUUGAAUAACAUAUAUGUUCAAGAUGAAACUUAAUCCAUUAACCUCAUGGAAGAAUGACAUUUCAUUAUACUGAUAGGUUAAAAACUUGUUGGUUUUUGACUUUCAAUUGUUUAGAUGUAUGUUUGUGAUUCGGUUUCUUAUUUAAGUGUGACAAAACUAUAACCAUCAACUUUUCGUUAAAACGAUUAUCUUACAAAAUAAACUUCACUACACAUAUCCUACACUACACUCUUUAUUCAAUAUUGUUUUAUCCUAACAGUAAGCAAGAACUUGGAACCCUAACUAAGAGUUCUAAGAAAACAAAGAGCAUCAAAUAAUCUAAAGGGCGUAUUAUGUGAUAAUGACAUAAAACCUAACUCUCUCCAUUUAUAUAUAGCGUACAGGAAUAUAAUAUACACCUCAUUAUACAAGUUUGAACACAAGUGUGUCAUUUAAGAGCAUACAAAUGUCAUAGUACAAGUUCCAAAGCCAUUAGUGCAUUUAAUUAAAGCUCCACACGUACAAACAUCCAAGCUCCCACAUAAUAAUCCUUUAAAGCUUCAUCUCUACUUUGAUAAUAAUACCAACAGUCUGUAACAUCUUAAAAUUUAAGACUUUGUUAUUAAAUAAAUAAAGUGAAUAAAAGAGAGAUGAUGUAUAUAGUUAGAGCAUUAAGGAGUAAGCAUAUCAUUGGUUGAUAUGAAGUUUGGAAGAUUAGAAGUGAAAAUUAUAACAUCUUAAAAGUUAAAGGAUUAUUGUGACAGUCGGGUGAAACUUAGGUUUGACUAGAGAUUUGACCAGCUUAAAUAACUUGGAUUAAGUUGUGAAGAUUAUGAUGUUGAGGGGUCAUUUUGGAAGUUCAUUGAAGCUUCUAAGUUAGUUUGGAGUUAUUUUGAAAGAGGUUUUGAAAGGAGGGACCGAAAGUGGCAAGUUGAUAAAGUUCAAAAUUAGUUAAUGGGUCUUCGCUCCCAUUUGCUUAAAAAACAACGCGGUUGAGAGAAAGAGAGAGGUAAAUGGCGAUUUCUAUUAAGCAAAGGAAGAUUUAGAGUGGUCGUUGAGUAAUCAAGCUAGAAAUUGAAGAUAUAAAGCAACAUCAAGCUUAAGAGGUAUAAUUUCUUAUCCUCUAACUCUAUACUUCGAAUUCAAGGUUUGGGGAAAACCUCGAUGUCGAAAUUAGUUUGAUUCUUUGAUUAGGGUUUUGGUUUCUAACCUCUCUUGAGUUGUUUUGAUGAUCUCAAUCUCAAUCUCAAUCAAAUCAUCAUAUUGAUGGGUUUGAGGAUUUUAAUGAAACCCCUCAUGAACCCUAGAAAUUCAAAUUAUGGAUUUCAUGUUUAUAUGUUAGAUUGUAAUGGAUUCAAUGACCUAUAUGCUUUUUGAUGUCAAUAAACCCAAUUGGAAUGCUCAAUCACAUCCAUGAUGGUAGAAUCAAAGUAUGAGCGUGAAUUUUAGGUGAUUUUAGGGAAAUUGUGGUGAAAACAACAUAAUUAUUUAUAUAUGAGCAUUUGAUGAGUACAUGAUACUCAUAAACAUGAAAUGAUACUAAUAAUAUGAUUUAAAUGCACGAACAUGAAGGCUUGGGUGAUCUAUAGUUGAAUUUAUGGAAUAAUUGGCCAAAAGGGCCUUUUAGGAAAUGUAUUGACAAACAUAUAAUGAUUGACAAAUAAUAAGUGAAUGGCAUUCAUGAACAUGAAUUAACACUCUAGAUAUGUUAUUGGAACAUUAUGUAAUAUCCCAAAAUUUAAGACUAAAAAAUUUCUUUUAAUAAAACAUUUCUUUAAGCAAAUUCAUCAUUCCAAAACAUGAAUAGAGUAUUAAUUUCCAAAAUACUUGUUCGUUAUCGGAGUAAACAUUCCUAGGCUAUCUAAUCUGUGGUGUGUGUGCCAUGCGAUCACCCCGAGCUCUUCCCUCCGCUACCGGAAGUACCCGAAACCAAAACUGAAAACCGUAAGCACGAAGCUUAGUGAGUUCCCCACCCUACCACAUACCAUACAUUCACAUAUCAUACACACUGUCGGGCAAUUAUGGGGUGCCCGACCUACCCGGNNNNNNNNNNNNNNNNNNNNNNNNNNNNNNNNNNNNNNNNNNNNNNNNNNNNNNNNNNNNNNNNNNNNNNNNNNNNNNNNNNNNNNNNNNNNNNNNNNNNNNNNNNNNNNNNNNNNNNNNNNNNNNNNNNNNNNNNNNNNNNNNNNNNNNNNNNNNNNNNNNNNNNNNNNNNNNNNNNNNNNNNNNNNNNNNNNNNNNNNNNNNNNNNNNNNNNNNNNNNNNNNNNNNNNNNNNNNNNNNNNNNNNNNNNNNNNNNNNNNNNNNNNNNNNNNNNNNNNNNNNNNNNNNNNNNNNNNNNNNNNNNNNNNNNNNNNNNNNNNNNNNNNNNNNNNNNNNNNNNNNNNNNNNNNNNNNNNNNNNNNNNNNNNNNNNNNNNNNNNNNNNNNNNNNNNNNNNNNNNNNNNNNNNNNNNNNNNNNNNNNNNNNNNNNNNNNNNNNNNNNNNNNNNNNNNNNNNNNNNNNNNNNNNNNNNNNNNNNNNNNNNNNNNNNNNNNNNNNNNNNNNNNNNNNNNNNNNNNNNNNNNNNNNNNNNNNNNNNNNNNNNNNNNNNNNNNNNNNNNNNNNNNNNNNNNNNNNNNNAUAAACCAUUCCUUGGGCACCCGCCCUCUAUCAUUGGACCUCGUCCCGAAUAUCAUACUAGCAUACUGUGCUUAGGGCUAACCCCCGGGUCUUCUACUCAUAACUACAUGGGCCGGCAUUGUGGCCGUAGACCCAUUCAUACAAAGGGAAACUCACCUACAUUGGCUGAACUGGCUGAUGAACCCACUAGCUGCUACCCGACAACUCUCUGAAUUCCUGCUCCACUCGCUCCUUGAGCUGCCAAAAUCAAUGCAACAUUGAGUCUAACUGACUCCCGAAAGACAACCAAGUCAAAUCUGGUCUAAGUCAGAGUCCAGGUCAAAGUCAACCUCCCAGGUCAACCCUACUCGUCGAGUCUUCCUACUGACUCGCCGAGUUCAUGCGCUCAAAGUCCUUCCAAUCGCGACUUGAUUCGCCGAGUCAGUCCAUGACUCGUCGAGUCCAACGAUUUUUGAGUCCUGACCUGUCCAACUCACCGAGUCUCCACUCGACUCACUAAUUCGAGUCUUAACUCGAAGGGUUUGGGGUUUCGCGACCUGACUCGCCGAGUCCAAGAACAGACUCGCCGAGUCCAAGGCAAUCUUCAACCAACUCGCCGAGUUGUUCUUCAAACUCGCCGAGUUCCUGCCCAACUUCAUCUGACUCGAUGAGUUGUUCAUCCCACUCGUCGAGUUCCUCCAAAUCUUCAUGCCACUCGUCGAGUCCACUCAAAGGACUCGCCAAGUCCAUUCAGACCUCCAUACAUGCAGAGGACUUUUGAGUCAUGCAUGGACUCCAAACUGUAGAUCUACCCUUCCCAAGCCUAUUCCUCACGUAAAGUUGCAAACUUUACGUGUAGAGAAGGAGAUCUAGGCAAAAUACACCAUAAACUAGGGUUUAAGGCAAGGAGGCUCCAUAAUCANNNNNNNNNNNNNNNNNNNNNNNNNNNNNNNNNNNNNNNNNNNNNNNNNNNNNNNNNNNNNNNNNNNNNNNNNNNNNNNNNNNNNNNNNNNNNNNNNNNNNNNNNNNNNNNNNNNNNNNNNNNNNNNNNNNNNNNNNNNNNNNNNNNNNNNNNNNNNNNNNNNNNNNNNNNNNNNNNNNNNNNNNNNNNNNNNNNNNNNNNNNNNNNNNNNNNNNNNNNNNNNNNNNNNNNNNNNNNNNNNNNNNNNNNNNNNNNNNNNNNNNNNNNNNNNNNNNNNNNNNNNNNNNNNNNNNNNNNNNNNNNNNNNNNNNNNNNNNNNNNNNNNNNNNNNNNNNNNNNNNNNNNNNNNNNNNNNNNNNNNNNNNNNNNNNNNNNNNNNNNNNNNNNNNNNNNNNNNNNNNNNNNNNNNNNNNNNNNNNNNNNNNNNNNNNNNNNNNNNNNNNNNNNNNNNNNNNNNNNNNNNNNNNNNNNNNNNNNNNNNNNNNNNNNNNNNNNNNNNNNNNNNNNNNNNNNNNNNNNNNNNNNNNNNNNNNNNNNNNNNNNNNNNNNNNNNNNNNNNNNNNNNNNNNNNNNNNNNNAAUAAUAGACUCGGUUCACCCUGACCCUGAACAUCCUGGAAACACAACUUACUUACCGACAAUCCUUCUGGUACUCACCGAGUACUGCACUGAACCUAUAGGGGUUCACCCCUUCUUUCCUUGCACAAUUCCUUGCCUUCCCAAGGCAAAGCUCCAUAACCAACUAUUCCUUCUGUCACUGUGAAGGCCCUAUCCUUCACCAACUCCAUCACCCCCGCUAUUUCCAGUACGGGUCAUAUCCGUCAGUAACCACUGACACCUCCUCUCUGCCAAAACUUGGUGCCGAGCACCCCUCGAUUCAAGUAACUGAAUUCCACCAUACGCUGCUUACCCGCAAUACCACUGACUGAAAAUUCUGCUAUUCCUUGUCUGCCUUCCGGAUGAACUGAGACCACCCUGGUCCCUACCAACCUAUCAAUGACUGGAUUACCGGCUCCCACCGGUAGUUGACCCAACACAACUACUAGUCGCUCCCAGGGACUUCCGAAGAAACUUCGACCACCUAUAACUGCUCAAUCUAUUCUGCUAUUCAGGCACUACAAACAUGGGAUCCCCGAUCCCCUAACUUGACACUAAGGUCCCUACCAGAUCCCACCUGCGCUGCUAAGACCCACGGGCCUCGCCCACGGGUCCCACCCGUCUCUAUCCUUCUAGUCCCACUAGUCUAAUCACUCUCGCUCGGGCCUCGCCCACGGGUCUCACCCCAACCAUAUCCUGGAGCAGCCUCUCCCAAGGUCUCACCUCUCUAGAGCUAAAUAGGCAAACUCCCUAUCAUUCUCAUCCACUACCCAUUCCUGAUCCCUGACCGAUCACUAGGAGGUAAGGGCCUCGCUCCAACUCCGCUAUCGAAGCUACUAAGGAAUGCUAUGGCUGCCCCGUAGUCUGACAACACUUCCGCCACUAACUGCUAAUACGAAGGCACCCAUGUGCCAUUAGCUCUCAAGAUCCUCAUUCUGACUCCCUCGAGUCCUACGGGCGAUCCACAACCUGAAUUCCCAACCACGUACUAACCAUUACCAUCACACGCACUAGUUGUUGGGGAGUUUCUCAAACUCCCAACCCUGAAAUCCUCAAUCCAUCAAAUGCUGAACUACCUCUUUUCCUUCUCGGAGGUUGCACCCUCAUUCUGGAUCUGCGUGCUCCUACCUUUUCACACUCGGAGGAUUCUCCCCCACUUCGAUCCUGCUUACCCCUUGUUGCUCAAUACUCAAAAGAAAUCCUUGCUACCAUUUCAUAAUCAAUCUGCUGAGGGACCCGUGCUUACCAUAGCUAGGGAUCUAACCAAUCCAUUUCUAACACUAUACAACUCCGAUCUUUUCAAUACUCAAAAGAAAUUCUUUUUAAAUGCUUUUAAAAAGAAUGUCUUGAAGGCAAAAACGUUUUUGAAAGUAAAGAAUGUUUUGGAAGAACAAAUGUUUUGAUAUGUGAAAUGUAUCUUUUCAAAGUAUAUUUUUCUAGUAACAUAUGCUAUUGAAAAUUAUGAUAUGUGUAUUGAUAAUGGGGAAUAUGAAAGCUAAAAAAAAAAAGUAAAAAGACACAAUGAAAACUACUCGGACCAUGAUACCUCAUAAGAGGCACUAGAGAAAUCUAUCGGGAUGACACCUCCCUCUUGCGAGAUAGAUGUCCUAAUUGAUAUGAUGCCUUGAUAAAUUGAGUUGCUCUUUCCACAUUAGUCUAGACUUGGGAGUGG
rnacentral:lncRNA from 1 species